rnacentral:rRNA from 1 species
AGAGUUUGAUCAUGGCUCAGAUUGAACGCUGGCGGAAUGCUUUACACAUGCAAGUCGAACGGCAGCACGGGGCAACCUGGUGGCGAGUGGCGAACGGGUGAGUAAUAUAUCGGAACGUGCCCAAUCGUGGGGGAUAACGUAGCGAAAGUUACGCUAAUACCGCAUACGAUCUACGGAUGAAAGUGGGGGAUCGCAAGACCUCGCGCGAAUGGAGCGGCCGAUAUCAGAUUAGGUAGUUGGUGGGGUAAAGGCUCACCAAGCCAACGAUCUGUAGCUGGUCUGAGAGGACGACCAGCCACACUGGAACUGAGACACGGUCCAGACUCCUACGGGAGGCAGCAGUGGGGAAUUUUGGACAAUGGGCGCAAGCCUGAUCCAGCCAUUCCGCGUGCAGGAUGAAGGCCUUCGGGUUGUAAACUGCUUUUGUACGGAACGAAACGGUCUGCCCUAAUACGGCAGGCUAAUGACGGUACCGUAAGAAUAAGCACCGGCUAGCUACGUG